GGGAUUUUCUCUCAUCAGUAUUAUUUUUUUUUUUUUUCAUUUUCAGUUUUAAAAUGUCACUUUGUUGGGAACAAUUUUCAUUGAGCAAUCAGAAGUGAAGAUAAACAUAACCACAAUAUCACCACUUAAUCAGAUCAGUCCUUGCGGGGGGGCGGGGGAGGGGGCUCCGUGUUAGGCUUCUGCCCAUUUGAUCUCAGACCCAGGCAGCCCUCUCCGCCCACCCCCGAAUCACGAGGAACUACAUCUCCCAGGCUCCCUUGCAGUCCGCUUCCUGGUAGGUUGGGCCAGUUGCAGACCCUGACAGAAGGUCGGAAGGUGGAGGAAGGAAGAGGCCACAGCAUUUGUCUCCCUCCGCUUUGGGAAGCAACUCCGCUGUAUCUUCGAGUGUCCAGCCCCUCGGAAGUUCCCGUUUCCGCUGGGUGGUCCUGGAUCCUGGACUCUGGUGCAGCCUAAUUCCCCUCUCCUGGACCAGGAGGCAGAACUGGCUUUGUGACUCACCUCUGUCUAGGAGAAUGUGGCAAAUGUGACAAUGUGUGACUUCUGAUGCUAAGUCAUAAAAGCCAUCAAGCACACCAUCCUGGAAGUGGCAGCUCCGGCCCCAGUUAAGCCCUCGGAUGAGAGCAGCCCUUGCCAAUAUUUUGACUACAACUCAUGAGAGACCCUGCGUCAGAACUGCUCAGCCAAGCUGCUCUCAACUUCCGGAUCUGCAGAAACUACAAAAGAUAAUGGUGAUCGUUGUUCUAAGCCACUAAGUUUUGGGGUACCUUGUUGCACAGCAGUAGAUAACUAAUGCAUAUGUCUAACCAAUUUCCAGCAUUAAAACCUUUCCAUUGGAGAGGCCCCUGGCUAGCCCCGUCGGUAGAGCAUGCAACUCUUGAUCUUGGGGUGUGAGUUCGACCCCCACAUUUGGUGUAGAGAGUACUUAAAAAUAAAAUCUUACAAAAAAAGCAAAACUUUCUAUUGGAAAGACCUAGAAUGGAUUCUGUUUUCUGACUGAUACAAACUCCUGUCCUGAAUUAUAAACCAAAUGUAAAAUUAACAUCUGUAAAAAUGAAAAGUCUAGGGGCGCCUGGGUGGUUCAAUCGGUUAAGUUUCCGACUUCAGCUCAGGUCACGAUCUCGCGGUCCAUGAGUUCGAGCCCCGCGUCGGGCUCUGGGCUGAUGGCUCAGAACCUGGAGCCUGCUUCCGAUUCUGUGUCUCCCUCUCUCUCUGCCCCUCCCCCGUUCGUGCUCUGUCUCUCUCUGUCUCAAAAAUAAAUAAACGUUAAAAAAAAAAAAAAUUAAAGAAAAGAAAA